UACGUAGGGUGCGAGCGUUAAUCGGAAUUACUGGGCGUAAAGCGUGCGCAGGCGGUUCGUUGUGUCGGCGGUGAAAUCCCCGGGCUCAACCUGGGAAUGGCCGUUGAAACUGGCGAACUGGAGUGUGGCAGAGGGGGGUGGAAUUCCGCGUGUAGCAGUGAAAUGCGUAGAGAUGCGGAGGAACACCGAUGGCGAAGGCGGCCCCCUGGACCGGUACUGACGCUGAGGCGCGAAAGCGUGGGUAGCAAACAGG
rnacentral:rRNA from 1 species